GCGUCAGCCGGUGGUGCAACGGUUCAACACAUGCUCCCGGAAAGAGUAAGAUCUGUGUUCGAAUCCCGGCCGAAGCC